GUAGCUUCUCGACGGGCUACGAUCGACAGUGGGCAACUCGCCUACGCGACGACCGCUUCGGGGCGAACGAGUACCGCCUCCUGGCCCGACCACUCCGCUUCCGCUCGAGUUUCUGCAACACAAAUUUUGAAUGGAAAUACGUCAACGUGGUGCCUAGUUUGCGUGACACGUUCCUGAAUGCACGUUCCACUUCGCAACCCCUCGUCUCACCCCUCUGGCGUCCGUCGACCCGGCGUACGACAUCGCAAUCAAUGAAGCUACGAUUCACCGAGCAGUGCCGUGCCACCAACUGGCUCCUAAAGUUCCAAUUUCACGAAACCAGACGUGUCAUCAAUUUUCCCCGUAACAGUUGGCAAUAUCGUACGAAAUACAGAAAAGAACGAGUCACAAAUUUACAUUGGAAUUUUAAGGGUAUAAGUUGCAAGCAUUGUUGCGAAUUUGUAUCGAUUCAAGCGGAAUUGGGAAAUUGUGUUAUACUCGACCGAAGAAUUUAGAGCAGGUAGACGUGUCUUCGUUGGGAAAAGUUGGGAAUCGUUGCCGUUGCUCGUGGAAGGUGAAGGAAAUGCGCAAGCCCGUGUUUUACGAUCGGCCAGCGGCUUCUUUGACAACACAGACGCCGGGGGAAAGUCUUGCCCGUUUUUCAUUCCUCCGAGUUUCAUCCUAAUCUCCAAGGGGUGAAACUCGUCACCUUUGAAUUCGCAUUUUCCUCUGACUAACUCGUGUUUACCCGAUGACUCAACUUUUCAAAAGACCCGUCGUGUAACAGAAAUCCGGAGAAUCCCUCGUGAAAUAUUGUUGCCCGUUGUUUGAUAUCAGGGAUCAGUUGGCGUCACUGGAAAAAUCACUUUCAUAAAAAACUACCAAUUCGUUAUUUCUGAGAAUCCGAAUUGUAUCCGUGAAGUAUGCCGAAGAAUAAAAUGCUUGUUUUCCCUGUG